UACGAAGGGGGCUAGCGUUGCUCGGAAUCACUGGGCGUAAAGCGCACGUAGGCGGGUCCUUAAGUCAGGGGUGAAAUCCUGGAGCUCAACUCCAGAACUGCCCUUGAUACUGAGGAUCUCGAGUUCGGGAGAGGUGAGUGGAACUGCGAGUGUAGAGGUGAAAUUCGUAGAUAUUCGCAAGAACACCAGUGGCGAAGGCGGCUCACUGGUCCGGUUCUGACGCUGAGGCGCGAAAGCGUGGGGAGCGAACAGG
rnacentral:rRNA from 1 species